GAUACGUCCCAAUGGCAGUUUGACCCAGUCAGAACGUCCUACGUAGAGGUUAACGGCCUGACGUGUCAAGUUAACUGUCACGUGUCACCUCCAGAAAAAUUUGGUCCCCAUUCAACCCAGACAAAACGACGUCGUUUUGGAUCAUGAGGCGAACAACAUCGUUUCGUGGAGGGCAAAUUCGUCCCCACCAUGGAAGGUGAUGAACGGAUAUUUAUACACUUUUUUGCAUUAUUUUCAUAGUGUUUUGGUAAUGUUUUGCUAAGUUUUUAUUAAGUUUUAGUAGGUUUUUAUACAAAAAUUAUUUUUUGGAUGCUAUUUUGAGUUUUUGUGUUUUUGUUAUGUUUUUAGGUGAUUUUUGGGUGAUUCUGUCAAGUUUUGGAAAAGCCUAAUUCAGAUAUAGAGAAAGGACUGCAGAUGCUGUCAGAUUCUGACCUCCGUGCAUUCAAACGAGCAUUUCUGGAGCUACAGAGGUCCAAUUGACGCGCUCUUAACGGCGUUGGAGAGCUAACAUCCAGGACUUUCCAGCAAUAUAUAAUGGUUCAUACUUAUCUUUGGAAAGGAUGGCCCAAAACGGGCGUUGAACGCCCCACUGACCCCUGCUUGGCGUUUGGACUCCCCAAAGGAAGCAAGCUGGCGUUUAGACGCCCAAAAGGGAGCAAGUCUGGCGUCCAACGCCCCAAGAGGAGUCCCAGCACAUGGAGUCACCCCAAGCUCAGCCCAAACACUCACCAAGUGGGCCCAACAAGUGAAUUUUCGCACCUUUAAGUCUAGUCUAUCAUAUUUUUGUAUUCUUUUCAUUAUUAGAUUAGUAUAAAUAGAACAAAGAUCACAUUUGUUUAGAACUUUUGAUCUUUGGCUUAUUCGAACCUUUCACUACUAUUUUCUGUAAGCUAUGAGCA
rnacentral:lncRNA from 1 species